rnacentral:rRNA from 1 species
CCUACGGGCGGCAGCAGUGGGGAAUAUUGCACAAUGGGCGCAAGCCUGAUGCAGCCAUGCCGCGUGUGUGAAGAAGGCCUUCGGGUUGUAAAGCACUUUCAGCGGGGAGGAAGGCGGUGAGGUUAAUAACCUCAUCGAUUGACGUUACCCGCAGAAGAAGCACCGGCUAACUCCGUGCCAGCAGCCGCGGUAAUACGGAGGGUGCAAGCGUUAAUCGGAAUUACUGGGCGUAAAGCGCACGCAGGCGGUCUGCCAAGUCGGAUGUGAAAUCCCCGGGCUCAACCUGGGAACUGCAUUCGAAACUGGCAGGCUAGAGUCUUGUAGAGGGGGGUAGAAUUCCAGGUGUAGCGGUGAAAUGCGUAGAGAUCUGGAGGAAUACCGGUGGCGAAGGCGGCCCCCUGGACAAAGACUGACGCUCAGGUGCGAAAGCGUGGGGAGCAAACAGGAUUAGAUACCCUUGUAGUC